rnacentral:rRNA from 1 species
GGCAGCCGCCGCGGUAACACCGGCGGCCCGAGUGGUGAUCGUGAUUAUUGGGUCUAAAGGGUCCGUAGCCGGUUUGGUCAGUCCUCCGGGAAACCUGAUAGCUCAACUAUUAGGCUUUCGGGGGAUACUGCCAGACUUGGAACCGGGAGAGGUAAGAGGUACUACAGGGGUAGGAGUGAAAUCUUGUAAUCCCUGUGGGACCACCUGUGGCGAAGGCGUCUUACCAGAACGGGUUCGACGGUGAGGGACGAAAGCUGGGGGCACGAACCGGAUUAGAUACCCGGGUAGUCCCAGCCGUAAACGAUGCUCGCUAGGUGUCAGGCAUGGCGCGACCGUGUCUGGUGCCGCAGGGAAGCCGUGAAGCGAGCCACCUGGGAAGUACGGCCGCAAGGCUGAAACUUAAAGGAAUUGGCGGGGGAGCACAACAACGGGUGGAGCCUGCGGUUUAAUUGGACUCAACGCCGGACAACUCACCGGGGGCGACAGCAAUAUGUAGGCCAAGCUGAAGACUUUGCCUGAAUCGCUGAGAAGAGGUGCAUGG